rnacentral:lncRNA from 1 species
UAAUGAUAUUUCUGAUCAGGAUCUUCUUCUUGAUGUGCCGUCGAAUGGAUCAUACCCUCAAGCAGAGCUUCUUCACAUGAUAUGAAAGAAGUGAAAGUUUCUCAGAACAAAGACUUAAAAGACCUUUUCAAAGAUCUCUCUCUAUCUUAUCUCUAAUGAUUGAAGAGAAAACUCUCUUUUAGUCUUAUCUUGGCUGAGAAAUUGUGGCCAAAUGAGAUUUUCCUGCAUUAGAAAUUUCAAUCUGCAGAUAUAUAUAAAAAAGGAAGGAUGUUAUGUAAGGGGAUCUUUUUGGCGAUCUUAUUUGAUACCUACAUAUACUGUCUUCUUGUCCUUAUUAAAAUAUUUUUAUGGAAAUUUUAUUGUGCUCUUAUUAUGUAGAAGAUGAGUUGCAUGAGAACAUAAUUGAAUAAAAUCUUGAUACUAAAUGCUUUUCUAGAAGUAUUAGGAUAAGUUGUCAAGAUUCCGAGCAUUGAUGAUCAUGUUGUUGCAGCUCCUAAACCAAAAGGAACUUGUUUCAAACAAGUAGAAGCGUUUAGAAACUUUGAUCACCAUGAUGCUACUCCUCGAUCGUGAGAAAGUGCUUGAGGUCUUGCAUCUUUUUAAGAUGUUUUCAGGCAGUUGGAUAGAGAUAAACAAGCAUGGCGAGGUGGAUAUUUAUCUGAUGCUACAGCUAUAAUAGGCAUCAAAACAUAAGCUAUGCUAGAGAAAAUGAGGAAACAAGUGAAGAGAAUGGGAUUGGUUCCUGGAAUCAACGUUGGCGACGAGUUACAAUACAAAACCUCUCCUUGUUGUGGGUCUUUCAUUUCAAGACGAUGUGCAUGAUUUUACUAUAUGGAAAAGGGAAAUGUUAAGCUUGCCACAAGCAUCAUUGCCACACAAUGAUAGGGUUACAAUGGUAAGGUUGAUGCUGGUGUUGUGGUUUUUACUGGUGAAGGAGGAAACGUGUUAAGCAAGGCAAACAAAACUGAAGAUCAGAAAUCUCUUUCUUUCUAUUGAAAAAAAAAACUCUUUUAUUCUUUAGUCAUUUCUGAGAAAUUUGAAAUUUGAAGCUGGCUUUAAUAUUUUUUUUUUGCUUGGGGGCCCUAAAUUUGCAGGGCCGGUUUUGUAUACUUAGAGAGUUCUAAGAAAAUUAAAAAAACUUCGUCAAAAGUCAUUUGUAUUCACUAAUAAAGUAGUUAUAUAUAUGCUUUUUUUAGAAAAAAAGCUUACUAUAUGCUAUUUUCCCUUAAGAUGUAAUGUGAAAACAACUUUUUUAAUGCAUAACAUGUCAAUUUUUCAUAUUAAUUCUUUUAACUAUUUACAGCAAUUUUUUUUGUUUUAUUGACUGAAAGUUUAUAUAUUCCACAUUAUACAUUUAAUUUCCUACAAAACCAACAAGGGAGCUCACCCUUUGCAUUAGACUAUCAAUAAUUGAAUAGUUGAAUCAAUAAUUUAACUCUUGAAAGUUAUAAAGUGAAAAUAUCGAAUUUGUUGGGAAAAAAAAACAGUCCUAGCUGCCAAGUGUUGACUUUUAAUUAAAGAAAAUGUUGAAUGAUGACCUAUAUAAAAUUCAUGGGUUCAGUUUUUAUUGGUUGUCUAGAUUUUUAUGAUUCUUGUUUCCAUCAAUUAUUCAAAUUCGAUUAUCUAAUAGGAAGAAAUAUAUCAAAUUUCAUCCUUUUAUGAUAAUAUAAGUGAACAAGAAGAUAAUCGGAUUAUUUCCUGGAAUCCACGUUGGCGACGAGUUUCAGUACAAAACCUAGCUUCUUCUUGUGGGUCUUCCUUCAAGACAAUGUGCAGGAUUUUAUUAUAUGAAAAAUGGGAAAUGUUAAGGUUGCCACAAGCAUCGUUGCCACAAAGAUGCAUUCUGCUGAAUUUGGGGUUAAUAAAUGCCAGAGAUCUCUAAAUUUUGGUUGCAGGACCAAACCUCAAGUCUUGGGAAGACGUAGUUUACCACUCUGUAACAUAGAUUUGAAGGUAAAUUUCAUUUGCAAUUCCUUAACAGUUUUGUUUUCUUAAAAGAUCAUUUUGAAUGACUUAUCUUCUUUCUUCAGGAUGUUUUCAACUUUGAUGAGUUCAUAGAAAAGUUCACAAUGGAAGAACAGCAAAAGCUGAUGAAACUACUUCCUGGAGUUGACUCUGUUGAUCUUCCUGAAAGGUUUUGAACUCAAUGCAACUUCAGUGUUUUACAGAUUUUCUUUAGUGGCUACUUUGUGUUCUUAUACUUCUCGUUUUCUUCUUUUUGCCAGCCUCAGAAGCAUGUUUGAGUGUUCUCAGUUCAAAGAUAACUUCUCCUUGUUUCAGCAACUAGUUGCAGAUGGCGUCUUUCAGCCAUUAUCAUCAUCAUCUUCUUCUUCCUCUGGAUCAAAACUUGAAGAGCUUAAGACUCUUGCAAAGCUUGCUUUAUCUGAUCCUAACAAAUCCCAUUUGUUGGAAAGCUAUCAAAUGCUCAAGGUUUUCUAGACAUAUACUCUUCUUGAAACAAAUGGUUUCUUUACUUUCAGCUUUUGUUCACUUAAAUCAUUUCCUCAGGAACAGAGAAAAGAGAUUGAAGACUCUGUUGCUAAACCAUCUGAUAAUCAUAGUUUAGUAACCAUUGAAAGACCUUGUGAAAGCCUAAACCAAAACUUCUCAGGUCAAUUCAAGAUUCUUGAAUCAUGUCAAUCCAUUACUUUCUGCAAUUGACUCUCUAUGUUUCUGAUAACUUUGAGUUGUGAAUCCUUCAGAGACAAGGACUGUGAUGAAGAGCCCAAAAGAAGUGAUAAAGAUUAGAUCAAAACAAAUCGAAACCAAAGAGAUUAUUGAGAAUAGUGUCUCUUCCUUUAACCAUAUGAGCUAUGGUGAGUCCAUGGUUUAUAGUCAUGAAGAUAAUGAUAUUUCUGAUCAGGAUCUUCUUCUUGAUGUGCCGUCGAAUGGAUCAUACCCUCAAGCAGAGCUUCUUCACAUGAUAUGAAAGAAGUGAAAGUUUCUCAGAACAAAGACUUAAAAGACCUUUUCAAAGAUCUCUCUCUAUCUUAUCUCUAAUGAUUGAAGAGAAAACUCUCUUUUAGUCUUAUCUUGGCUGAGAAAUUGUGGCCAAAUGAGAUUUUCCUGCAUUAGAAAUUUCAAUCUGCAGA